GGCUCAGAACGAACGCUGGCGGCGUGCCUAACACAUGCAAGUUGAACGGGGUACAUUGUUGUAGCAAUACAGUGGUGUACUUAGUGGCGGACGGGUGAGUAACACGUAGGUAACCUACCCUCAAGCGGGGGACAACCCGGGGAAACCCGGGCUAAUACCGCAUAAGACCACGGACUGGGAUGUUUGUGGUAAAAGUAGCAAUACACUUGGGGAUGGGCCUGCGGCCUAUCAGGUAGUUGGUGAGGUAACGGCCCACCAAGCCUAAGACGGGUAGCCGGGCUGAGAGGUUGGACGGCCACACUGGAACUGAGACACGGUCCAGACUCCUACGGGAGGCAGCAGUGGGGAAUUUUGCACAAUGGGCGAAAGCCUGAUGCAGCGACGCCGCGUGGAGGAUGAAGGCCUUCGGGUUGUAAACUCCUUUUGUAGGGGAAGAUAAUGACGGUACCCUGCGAAUAAGCCACGGCUAACUCUGUGCCAGCAGCCGCGGUAAGACAGAGGUGGCGAGCGUUGUUCGGAAUCACUGGGCUUAAAGGGCGCGUAGGUGGUAGUGCAAGUCUGGGGUGGAAUCUUAGGGCUUAACCCUAAAAUUGCCUUGGAAACUGUAUUACUUGAGUCAGUGAGGGGAAGGUAGAAUUCCCGGUGUAGCGGUGAAAUGCGUAGAUAUCGGGAGGAAGGCCUGUGGCGAAGGCGGCCUUCUGGCGCUGAACUGACACUGAGGCGCGAAAGCGUGGGUAGCAAACAGGAUUAGAUACCCUGGUAGUCCACGCCCUAAACGGUGGGUACUAGGUGUAGGGCUCGUAAGGGUUCUGUGCCGAAGCGAAAGCAUUAAGUACCCCGCCUGGGGAGUACGGCCGCAAGGUUGAAACUCAAAG
rnacentral:rRNA from 1 species